rnacentral:rRNA from 1 species
AUGAACGCUGGCGGCGUGCUUAACACAUGCAAGUCGAGCGAGAAGUUUUGAAAAGAUUCUUCGGAUGAAAUUUAAAAUGGAAAGCGGCGGACGGGUGAGUAACGCGUAGGCAACCUGCCCCAUACAAAGGGAUAGCAUUUGGAAACGAAUAUUAAUACCUUAUGAAACUUAACUAGUGCAUGCUAGGUAGGUCAAAGAUUUAUCGGUAUGGGAUGGGCCUGCGUCUGAUUAGCUAGUUGGUGAGGUAACGGCUCACCAAGGCGACGAUCAGUAGCCGACCUGAGAGGGUGAACGGCCACAUUGGAACUGAGACACGGUCCAAACCCCUACGGGAGGCAGCAGGGGGGAAUAUUGCCCAAUGGGGGAAACCCUGAUGCAGCAACGCCGCGUGAACGAUGAAGGCCUUUGGGUCGUAAAGUUCUGUUCUAGGUGAUGAAAACUGACAGUAACCUAGGAGAAAGCCCCGGCUAACUCCGUG